rnacentral:rRNA from 1 species
CCUACGGGAGGCAGCAGUGAGGAAUAUUGGACAAUGGGCGGGAGCCUGAUCCAGCCAUGCCGCGUGCAGGAUGACGGCCCUAUGGGUUGUAAACUGCUUUUAUACGGGAAGAAACGCGCCCACGUGUGGGCGUUUGACGGUACCGUA